rnacentral:tRNA from 1 species
GGUCUGUAGCUCAGGUGGUUAGAGCGCACCCCUGAUAAGGGUGAGGUCGGUGGUUCAAGUCCACCCAGACCCACCAGAAUCGAUCAGCUCGUCGUUGCGCCAAGACUCGCAUACUGAUUGUAUGCUUCNCCUUGACGCGCCUAAAUCUGACCGAUUUUCCGAGUAAGGCUUAAGGUG